AAUAGAUACCCCGGUAGUCCACGCCGUAAACGAUGAAUGCUAGGUAUUAGGGGUUUCGAUACCCUUGGUGCCGAAGUUAACACAUUAAGCAUUCCGCCUGGGGAGUACGGUCGCAAGACUGAAACUCAAAGGAAUUGACGGGGACCCGCACAAGCAGUGGAGUAUGUGGUUUAAUUCGAAGCAACGCGAAGAACCUUACCAGGUCUUGACAUCCCUCUGACCGUCCUAGAGAUAGGGCUUCCCUUCGGGGCAGAGGUGACAGGUGGUGCAUGGUUGUCGUCAGCUCGUGUCGUGAGAUGUUGGGUUAAGUCCCGCAACGAGCGCAACCCUUGACUUUAGUUGCCAGCAUUGAGUUGGGCACUCUAGAGUGACUGCCGGUGACAAACCGGAGGAAGGUGGGGAUGACGUCAAAUCAUCAUGCCCCUUAUGACCUGGGCUACACACGUACUACAAUGGCUGGUACAACGGGAAGCGAAGCCGCGAGGCGGAGCGAAUCCUAAAAAGCCAGUCUCAGUUCGGAUUGCAGG
rnacentral:rRNA from 1 species